AACGAACGCUGGCGGCAUGCCUAACACAUGCAAGUCGAACGAAGCCUUCGGGCUUAGUGGCGCACGGGUGCGUAACGCGUGGGAAUCUGCCCCUUGCUUCGGAAUAACAGUUAGAAAUGACUGCUAAUACCGGAUGAAGUCUUCGGACCAAAGAUUUAUCGGCAAGGGAUGAGCCCGCGUAGGAUUAGGUAGUUGGUGGGGUAAAGGCCUACCAAGCCGACGAUCCUUAGCUGGUCUGAGAGGAUGAUCAGCCACACUGGGACUGAGACACGGCCCAGACUCCUACGGGAGGCAGCAGUGGGGAAUAUUGGACAAUGGACGCAAGUCUGAUCCAGCAAUGCCGCGUGAGUGAUGAAGGCCUUAGGGUUGUAAAGCUCUUUUACCAGGGAUGACAAUGACAGUACCUGGAGAAUAAGCUCCGGCUAACUCCGUG
rnacentral:rRNA from 1 species